rnacentral:rRNA from 1 species
UACGGAGGGUGCAAGCGUUAUCCGGAUUCACUGGGUUUAAAGGGAGCGCAGGCGGAUUGGUAAGUCAGGGGUGAAAGGCUUAAGCUUAACUUGGGAACUGCCAUUGAUACUAUAAGUCUUGAAUGUUGUUGAGGUUUGCGGAAUGGGUCAUGUAGCGGUGAAAUGCAUAGAUAUGACCCGGAACACCUAUUGCGAAGGCAGCAGGCUAAACAAAUAUUGACGCUGAGGCUCGAAAGCGUGGGGAUCAAACAGG